rnacentral:rRNA from 1 species
AGCGAACGCUGACGGCAGGCCUAACACAUGCAAGUCGAACGUACCCUUCGGGGUUACUGGCAGACGGGUGAGUCACACGUGGGAACAUGCCUUUAGGUUAGUCCUAGCUCCUGGAAACGGGUGGUAAUGCCGAAUGUGCCCUUAGGAGGAAAGAGUUAUCUCCUUUAUAACGGCCCCCGUCUGAUUAGGUAGUUGGUGAGGUAAUGGAUCACUAAGUCGACGAUCAAUAGCUUGUCUGAGAGGAUGACCAGCCACAUUGGGACUGAGACACGGCCCAAAAGCCUACGGGAGGGAGCAGUGGGGAAUAUUGCGCAAUGGGCGAAAGCCUGACGAAGCCAUGCCGCGUGAAUGAUGAAGGUCUUAGGAUUGUAAAAUUCUUUCACCGGGGAAGAUAAUGACGGUACCCGGAGAAGAAGCCCCGGCUAACUUAGUGCCAGCCGCAGCCGUACGAC